AGAAAGCGGGAGAGGAGAUGAAAAGGUCGAAAGAAAUCUCACAUCCUGCUCUGCUUCCCACCCAACUCCACAUCCAAAACGCCGCCGCCGCCGCCGCCGCCAACCACCACAUACAAAGCGCCGCCGCCGCCAACCACCACAUCUCCGACCACCAGGGUCUAUCCCCUCCUCUCCAUCGCGGCUGCUGGUCGCGGAUCGACCUCCCCAUCCGAGGCCAACUCCUCCAUCCACAGCGGAUUCGUCUCCUCCUCCACACCGAGGCCAUGGCAGGAGGAGCACGAAACACUAGCGCCCGCCAUGGCGACCUAGCACCAGGAACCGGCCGGCGCAUCCUGCAGCCGCCGGUCCAGCAUGAAUGCGGCAGCUUGGCCUCAAGGACUCCAAGAUCUGUUUGCAGGCACAGAUGAUGUAUGUGGCAGGCGACGAUGAUGCCGACGCCAACGCCGAGGAGGACGAGGACCCGAGCUCCAGCCUGACCAGCAUGGUCCCUGCUGCCUGCCAGUAAUGACUCCCUGCAGAUAUGCGCCAUAUGGGAGAUCCUUCUCGCCGGACUUCAGGAGAAGGCGGUCCCUCGGCGACGGGUUUGAGAGCUAGCGUGGGUUUUGCCAGACCAUUCAUGCUACCCAGAUGGGAUUGUCGCUCAAUAUCGGCAUGUAUCAUGUACGCAGCAGACGAGGAUGAUGAUGACGCCGAGGAGGAUGAGGACCUGAGCUCGAGCCUGACCACGAUGGCGCAUAUCACAAGGUCCCUACUGCCUGCCAGUAACUACUCCCUGCAGGUUUCACAUCAUUCUCAGGAGAAGCGUGGGUGUUUUGUGACUUUGGCUUUCGGAAAGCACUUGGGAGGGGCCAGUUCGGCAUGUUUACUUGGCCAGAGAAAAGAGGGAUAAAUGAUUUGUGAAGCUUACCUACCGGAGAUCCCUCGAUGAUAAUGCUGCUAAGUUAUUCUGUCUUUGGAGCCUAGGGCCUGGAUUGCAAACUCAAGAUACAGACUGUAAAGAGCCUUCUGCUCUUGGGCGUGGAUCCUGACGAGGUCUGCAUGAGAUUUGCAAAGGAGUUGGACGUGCAGGGGCAUGGGAUCCCGGUUAGGUGACAGUGGUCAAUGCCACCUACAUGGGCAUGGAUGCCCUCCACUUUGCAUGCGGCCUCGGUAAGCUGCCGGUCUACCAGUAGCUCGUGUAGGAGGUCAAGAUGGAUGUCGACACGCUGAAACCGAUCUGGGUUCAGGUCUACAUCAAAGGUAGCAUCUAGCUCAUCGACAAGGGUGUCCACGUGGGUUAUCAAUGGCGUGGUCCUAAAAGACGAGAAGCACGGCUGUCGUGACGAUGUCCCACGCUAGGAGAGGAGGAGGGGCGGCCACUGCUUCCUUCGCCGAGCUCGCCUCCACCGGGCUGCUUGUGCAGUUUGGUGCAGGAUUUGGCUCCGCGGUUCAAUUUCAAUGUUGUGGGGGAACUGGUGCCGUUGUGGGCUACCUGUCCUUAAGGUUCAUCUUCCAACGAUUGUAGCCAUGUCGAGGUUAGGCCCCGCUUCCUGCCAUGUGCACGCUGCUCGCUUGCCCAACACCGUACCCUACAUGCGCUCCUCCAUGAACCUCGUCAGAUGCUGUGAGGUACUUUGUUGAUAGCUGAUAGCGCUCGACAUCGAGACCUUCCAGCAGUCCAUAUGCGGUUUGAUGUUGUGGGCUCCCAUGUCUGCCUCCCUGGCUACAACCAUUCUGGAUGGAUUAUAGUGAGUCGACGCCAAACAGCAGGGGUCAUACAAUAAGCAAGGUGGGAGGAUGCCAUCUCUCGCACUACUACCAAGAUUGAUAGUGAUGAGCAUAUAAUCAUGUAAUCUGACACUUUGGUGAAUGUGGUGCACGCACCAUAUAAAUGCUUAAUGUCUACUAUGUUUGCUUUAUUUCCCUGGUGUAUUUUCCUCACAAAGGUGCAGAAGAGAUAGUGUGCACGUGGAGAAGGCGCCCAAUAUCACCAGCGAGAUCUACUUCAACUGUUGGUAAAGAAAGAACGAGGCACCCUUGCUCAUCUUCACAACCUUACAUGGGUGUGUGCCGAAUGCUUCUUCUUCCAGAACAGUGAAACCCAUGUCCGCACCUACCCAUCUCCAUCUGGAUGGUUAUUCAUACUUUGAUGUCUGGAUGGAUUACAGCUAAACAGCAUGGGGUGCAUACAACAAGUGAAGUGGGAGAAUACCAUCUCUCAUGGUACUACUCAGCCACCAGAUGGAGGCGGCGGCGAACCCUAGCCGUGCCCCUGCUGCUCUUCCCCAACGUGCCGCUCGGCUAUCCCUUCGCAUCUGGUGGAUAGAAUCGACUCCGGUGGUAUAGAACAAUGAAACCCAUGUCCAGACCUGCUCAUCUCCAUCUGGAUGAUUUUUCAUUCUUUGCCGUCCGGAUAGAUUAUAGUGAGUCGACACCAAAUAGUAGGGGUGCAUACGACAAGCAAAGUGGGAGGAUGCCAUCUCUCGCACUGCUACCUAGGUGCAGGACAAAACUGCCAUGUAGUGUGCCCAUGUGAUUCUUCUUCCACUCUGACGGCUCCCGCCCUUCCCCUUCGGUGGCCCCCAUUACUCUUCCGCUCUGUCAGAGCUGAUGAUAAGGAGAAUUUGUUCCUCUAAGGCCAUCCCGGCACAGAUAAGGAGAAUUUGUGCCUCUAGGGCCACCCUGAUGCAGAUAAGAAGAGAAUAGAGACCAAGCCUUCCUGCAUCAUGCUUGACCAUGUAGUCCUCCCCGCGUUCGUCGUCCUCCGAACCCUGGGAGUGGUCUGGAAUGAUGGCGAGGAUGGCGACGCAGUCUAUGCUUGAGAUGAUGGAAGGUCAGUUAGCUGCUGGAAAUCUGAUCCUCCGAAGGGUGAGAAUACAGGGGAGAGCAUAUCUGUCCAAAGAAAAGAAAAGGCUGGAAGUUGUGGUUGGUAGGGCCACAGAGGUAACUUGACAUGCUCAAGUGGCUUUCUAUCUGGGUUGUGGCCAGAAGCUGGCUGUUAGAUUCAUCGACUUCUCAGUUAGUUUGUUGUGGUGUUGAAAUAGCUUCUUGUUUUUAGAAUUGUGGUGAAGAGCUAAGUUGGCUUCCUGUUGUUGAUUUUUGUUGUUGUGGAAGAUAUUGUCUUGGCAGGAUGAUUUUGAAUGAGCUGGAUGCUUUACAAAGGAAUGAAUUCGAUUUGAGUGCAUGAAUGAAUGAGUUUCUGGAUUCCCAA